AUCGAACGCUGGCGGCAUGCUUAACACAUGCAAGUCGAGCGAGCGGCGGACGGGUGAGUAAUGUCUGGGAAACUGCCUGAUGGAGGGGGAUAACUACUGGAAACGGUAGCUAAUACCGCAUACCAUCAGAUGUGCCCAGAUGGGAUUAGCUAGUAGGUGGGGUGAUGGCUCACCUCGGCGACGAUGCCUAGCUGGUCUGAGAGGAUGACCGGCCCCACGGCAACUGAGGCACGGUCCGGACGCCUACGGUAGGCAGCCGGGGGGAAGUGGGCACAAUGGGCGAAAGCCUGAUGCAGCGAUGCCGCGAGUGUGAAGAGGGCCUUCAGGGUGUAGAGCUCUUACCGCGUGGAGGCGUUACUCGCAGAAGAAGCACCGGCUAACUCCGUGCCAGCAGCCGCGGUAAUAC
rnacentral:rRNA from 1 species